GGGAUAGUGGCGACGGGUGAGUACACGUGGGCAAUCUGCCCUUCACUCUGGGACAAGCCCUGGAAACGGGGUCUAAUACCGGAUAACACUCUGUCCCGCAUGGGACGGGGUUGAAAGCUCCGGCGGUGAAGGAUGAGCCCGCGGCCUAUCAGCUUGUUGGUGGGGUAAUGGCCUACCAAGGCGACGACGGGUAGCCGGCCUGAGAGGGCGACCGGCCACACUGGGACUGAGACACGGCCCAGACUCCUACGGGAGGCAGCAGUGGGGAAUAUUGCACAAUGGGCGAAAGCCUGAUGCAGCGACGCCGCGUGAGGGAUGACGGCCUUCGGGUUGUAAACCUCUUUCAGCAGGGAAGAAGCGAAAGUGACGGUACCUGCAGAAGAAGCGCCGGCUAACUACGUGCCAGCAGCCGGAGGUAAUACG
rnacentral:rRNA from 1 species